rnacentral:rRNA from 1 species
UACGUAGGGGGCUAGCGUUGUCCGGAAUCAUUGGGCGUAAAGCGCGUGUAGGUGGUUCGGUAAGUCCGCUGUGAAAGUCGGGGGCUCAACCCUCGGAUGCCGGUGGAUACUGUCGAGCUUGAGUACGGAAGAGGCGAGUGGAAUUCCUGGUGUAGCGGUGAAAUGCGCAGAUAUCAGGAAGAACACCCGUGGCUAAGGCGGCUCUCUAGUACGUGACUGACGCUGAGACGCGAAAGCGUGGGGAGCGAACAGG